CAGACAUCUCACAACCAUCUUCUUCUUCUUCAAAUCAAAUUCAAAAUCAAAAUCGAAUUUUUUUCAAAAUCUAAAUCGAACCCACAAGAACAUUCAAAUGUUCAAUCGAAUCUCGAUUUCCGAUCUCAAUUUCUGAAUCUCUAACCCCUAAAAAUCCUCCUACCAUGUCAACAAAACCAUCUACCACAAGAAAAGAAGGCCAUGGCCUCCUGCUAGGAAGGUUUGAGAUCGGAAAACUUCUUGGCCAUGGUAGCUUUGCUAAAGUCUACCUUGCUCGCAACGUGAAAACCAAUGAAUCCGUCGCCAUUAAAGUCAUCGACAAAGAGAAAAUAAUGAAAGGCGGUUUAAUCGCUCACAUCAAACGCGAGAUCUCCAUCCUCCGCCGUGUCCGACAUCCAAACAUCGUACAGCUAUUUGAGGUAAUGGCAACAAAGACUAAGAUCUUUUUCGUUAUGGAAUACGUUAGAGGCGGUGAAUUGUUCAAUAAAGUUGCUAAAGGUAGAUUAAAGGAAGAAGUUGCUAGAAAGUAUUUCCAACAACUGAUUUCUGCAGUAGGGUUUUGUCAUGCUCGUGGUGUUUUUCAUAGAGAUUUAAAACCAGAGAAUAUAUUGUUAGAUGAGGAUGGUGAUCUGAAGGUGUCAGAUUUUGGUCUUAGUGCUAUCUCUGAGCAAAUCAGAGGUGAUGGUUUGUUCCAUACUUUUUGCGGAACUCCGGCAUAUGUUGCGCCGGAGGUUUUGGGGCGAAAAGGAUACGAAGCUGCAAAGGUUGAUAUUUGGUCUUGUGGAGUGAUUUUGUUUGUGUUAAUGGCUGGUUACUUACCAUUUCAUGAUCAGAAUGUAAUGGUCAUGUACAAGAAGAUUUACAAAGGGGAAUUCAGGUGUCCUAGAUGGUUUUCCCCAGAAUUGACUCGAUUGUUAAAACGGCUGCUUGAAACGAAUCCAGAAAACCGGAUCACUAUUCCUGAAAUCAUGGAAAACAAGUGGUUCAAAAAGGGGUUUAGGCACAUUAAGUUCUAUUUCGAUGAUGAUAAGUUGUGCAGUGUGAAAGAUGGAGAGAUUGAAGAUGAUGGGAUUGAUUAUUCAUCUGAUCAGUCUUCAUAUUCCGAAUCAGAAAGUGAAACUGAGAAUCGGAGGAGGCUAGCGAGCUUACCUAGACCUGCAAGUUUGAAUGCUUUUGAUCUGAUUUCAUUCUCUCGUGGCUUUAGUUUAUCUGGGUUGUUUGAAGAUGGAAUGGAGGAAUCAAGAUUCGUUUCAGGGGCACCAGUUUCUAGCAUAAUUUCAAAGCUGGAGGAGAUUGCCAAAGUGGUUAGCUUUGCAGUGAGAAAGAAGGACUGCAAAGUUAGUUUGGAAGGGACAAGAGAGGGAGUAAAAGGUCCUUUAACAAUUGGAGCUGAGAUAUUCGAAUUAACACCUUCAUUAAGAGUGGUAGAAGUUAAAAAGAAAGCAGGGGACAAAGGGGAAUACGAUGACUUCUGUGCACGGGAAUUGAGACCCAGAUUGCAAGAACUUAUGCUAACCGAAUCAGGCGAACCUUCAAAUUUGCCUUCUGAUACAGAAUGAAAGAUGAACACAAGAGUCGAAAAGGGAACCGGCGUUCAAAAUCUAGGUCAUGUUAGCUUACAUCUCACCUCCGAGACCCUGCUUCAGAUUUACUGGGUCAGUUUGGAUUUUUACCAGGAAUAUGUGGUAAAGAUGGUCUUUGUGCUAGAAGUCAGGUCUGCAUACCUACUUUUGAGUAGGAUUUACCGGCAGUGUACUCGUGAAAUAGAGCGCGAUCCAAUCUCGAGAUUUUGAAGUUGAGAAUUCGAACCCACAAUCUUGUUUCAUGAUUGGUUAUGUUCUCCACCCCUCUCGAUUUUACUUAAAAGUUGUGUCCAGUUUUGAGAGAGCAGUGAGCCAUCAGUUGGUUAUCAUUUUUAUGGAGUAUAAUGAUGUAUUGGAAAGGCUUCAAUGUU